rnacentral:tmRNA from 1 species
GGGGCUGACUUGGAUUUCGACAGAUUUCUUGUCGCACAGAUAGCAUGCCAAGCGCUGCUUGUAAAACAGCAACAAAAAUAACUGUAAACAACACAGAUUACGCUCCAGCUUACGCUAAAGCUGCGUGAGUUAAUCUCCUUUUGGAGCUGGACUGAUUAGAAUUUCUAGCGUUUUAAUCACUCCAUAACCUUAAGCUAGACGCUUUUAAAAGGUGGUUCGCCUUUUAAACUAAGAAACAAGAACUCUUGAAACUACCUCAAGGUUUUAGAAAGUUGGACCAGAGCUAGUUUUAAGGCUAAAAACUAACCAAUUUUCUAAGCAUUGUAGAAGUUUGUGUUUAGGACAAGAUUUUUGGACUGGGGUUCGAUUCCCCACAGCUCCACCA